rnacentral:rRNA from 1 species
UUGAAAGGGAAACGAUUGAAGUCAGUCGUACCUGUGGGUAAUCAGCCUUUUGGGUGUGAUUUUGUGGAGUGUGAGGAGUUAAACGCCUUCAUGCCUGCAUAUUCGUGCACUUUGGGUGUAUUUACCCGUGUGGUAAGUUAACAUCAAUUUUGGUGGUCAUAAAAUGGCUGGAGGAAUGUAGCUUCGAUCUCGUAUUGAAGUGUUAUAGCCUUCGGUAGAUGUGAUUAUCGGGAUUGAGGAUUGCAACGGAUACCCUUCGGGGCUACCUGUCUGAUCUCUGAUCGUUGCUCUGGUGCCGAAAGCUUGCUUACGGUUAUCAAAGUCGAUGGUCAAUAGGUUAGAACGGGUUAAAUUCGUUAAGGAUGUUGACGUA